rnacentral:rRNA from 1 species
AUACGUAGGUGACAAGCGUUAUCCGGAUUUACUCGGCGUAAAGGGCGUGUAGGCGGUCUUGCAAGUCAGAAGUGAAAUUCCUGAGCUCAACUCGGGCGCUGCUUCUGAAACUGCAGGACUUGAGUGCUGGAGGGGAUAGCGGAAUUCCUAGUGGAGCGGUAAAAUGCGCAGAUAUUAGGAAGAACACCGGUGGCGAAGGCGGCUAUCUGGACAGUAACUGACGCUGAGGCGCGAAAGCGUGGGGAGCAAACAGGAUUAGAUCCCCUGGUAGUCCACGCCGUAAACGAUGAAUACUAGGUGUAGGGGGUAUCGACUCCCUCUGUGCCGCAGUUAACACAAUAAGUAUUCCGCCUGGGGAGUACGGCCGCAAGGUUGAAACUUAAAUGAAUUGACGGGG